rnacentral:rRNA from 1 species
GGUGAGUAACGCGUUGGUGACCUGCCCCAAAGUGUGGGAUAACAGUUCGAAAGGAUUGCUAAUACCGCAUGUGGUCAUUGGAUCUAGAAACCGAUGACUAAAGCAGUAAUGCGCUUUGGGAGGGGCCUGCGUCCCAUCAGCUAGUUGGUAGGGUAAUGGCCUACCAAGGCGACGACGGGUAGGGGACCUGAGAGGGUGGCCCCCCACAAUGGAACUGAAACACGGUCCAUACACCUACGGGUGGCAGCAGUAGGGAAUAUUGCUCAAUGGGCGAAAGCCUGAAGCAGCAACGCCGCGUGUGCGAUGAAGGUCUUCGGAUCGUAAAGCACUUUUCUGAGAGAUGAGAAAGGACAGUAUCUCAGGAAUAAGUCUCGGCUAACUACGUGCCAGCAGCCGCGGUAACACGUAGGAGGCGAGCGUUAUCCGGAUUCACUGGGCGUAAAGCGCGUGCAGGCGGUUUGGUAAGUUGGGCGUGAAAGCUCCCGGCUCAACUGGGAGAGGUCGUUCAAUACUACCAGACUAGAGAGCAGAAGAGGAAGAUGGAAUUCCCGGUGUAGUGGUGAAAUGCGUAGAUAUCGGGAGGAACACCAGUGGCGAAGGCGAUCUUCUGGUCUGUUUCUGACGCUCAGACGCGACAGCUAGGGUAGUAAACGGAAUUAGAGACCCCCGGUAAUCCUAGCCGUAAACGAUGUGAACUCGGCGUUGGUGGCUUAAACACCAUCAGUGCCGGAAGCAAACGCGAUAAGUUCACCGCCUGGGGACUAACAGCCGCAAGGUU